GAAUGCUCAGAAGGGCUUCAUUCCCUGAAGCGCAGCAAUACUGGGACUAUGAUACCUCCAGGUUCAGGCUGUGUGGUGUCUACAGGUCCAAUGUGUCCAGAACUUCUCCCUCUUUGCUAAUCUUGCUGUAUUAGUUGGUAUCCCUAUAGCGAUUACUGAGAAGUAUGAUGGGCUGCAGUUAUCAGCUUUGAAAUGUUUAGCAACCAGGCACUCCACUUUUUUUGGAACGAGGGAGAGAAAAGCUCUGGAGGAGAGAACCCGAACCACUGGUUUCAAAUGACAAAAAAUGAGAUUCCAUUUUUAUUUUUAUUUUGUCCCUGGGCAUCUAAUGGAGAGGCAAGAUCUGUUGGAGUGUUAAUGCUGUGAGCCCCUCCAUCCUAUGUUCAGACUACUGCUGCCACACACACAUGCACACACACACACACCAAACCCGUCAUCUGUCCUAGAAAAACUUGAACAUCUCAUUUCUUCUCAUGAGAGCAUGUUGGCCAUCUUGGGUGCCGUGAUCUCGCAUGAUUUCGACAUCAUGGUAAAAGCACAUUUUUCAGGGCUGCGAUGUUGUUUGGCACUCCAAAAAUGCGAGUUUUGGGGCACAGUGCCCCCCAAAAGUACUUUUAUCAUGGGGAAAUCACGGCUCAGCAUGGUGAGAAAAAACGGGAAAAUGGUGUCCCAGAUGGUAGCGUCCCGGUUUUUCCCUUUGAUGUGUUAGAGGGUGUCAGGGAACUGCCAUCGGACGGAAGGGAGGUGAAAGGGCUCACACAGGUUGGGAGAGAAGCAGCAGCUGAAGAGGGAACCGGAAGGGAGGUGAAAGGGCUCACACAGGUUGGGAGAGACGCAGCAGCUGAAGAGGGAACCGGAAGGGAGGUGAAAGGGCUCACACAGGUUGGGAGAGACGCAGCAGCUGAAGAGGGAACCAGCAGGGGAGAGGAGCUGAGCUGGAGGGAUGGCUCAGAGACACUUCCAGCGAAAACAGUGGGGAGGUUUCAGGACCUCCUGUAAGAACACCCACUCCUCGCCGGAAACUGUCACGCAGAGAUUCCAGAAGACGUGUUUCCGUUAAGGAGCUUUUAUGUUGGAAGCGAUUACGAAGCAACCACUGUCGGAAUCUGCUAGUGACUAGAGUAGCCAUGUCUGAGGGGCUCCGUCACAGACAGAGGUUUGUGGACUUGAACAAACUCUGAGGGGAUACGAUUUUACGCACAAGCAGCUCAUCAUCCCAUCACAGCAUUCCGACAGUGGUUGAAAGCAGCUUGUGCAGGAGAAGGCAUCAUGAGCAACCCAGCCGGAACCGGAGAAGCAGGAGCUGGAGCGGGUCCAAGCCUGGAAGAAAGGUACCAGAUGUUGGAGGUCCAGCUAGCGAUGCAGACGGCGAGGCUUGAGGAGAGGAGGGCUCUGGAUGCAGACAAAAAGGCGCAAGCCACCCAGUUCGCCAGAAAGGUACCAGGAUUGGUGCAGAAGUUUGGGGGGGAGCACAAAAACUAUCAUGGUUUUCGGACAGAAAUGCAAUAUGCCCUCAAUCUGCAGUUUGAUGAAUUCCCUGACGAGGAAUCACGAGUGGCUUUCGUGAUUGAGCAUCUUGAAGAGGGGGCGAGAGACUGGGUUAGACCCCUGAUGGCAGCUAAUAGUGACGUCUUAAAGGACACGAUGAAGUUCUUUCGCGCCAUGGAUCUGAUGUUUUCCAGCGAUAUUGAAAAGGGAGUGGUGCGCAGACAGUUAAUGGGUUGCAAACAGGGGAGCCGAUCUGUCCGUGAGUACUGGACUGAGUUCACCAUGCUUGUUCACAGAUUGGGGUGGGACUUAUCGGCGGAACCCAUUCAAAUGCUCUUUGAAGAAGGGCUUUCUUCGGCUGUGAAAGACGAACUUUCCCGGGCGCCCAGGGCGGAGUCUAUGGACCAGCUGACCAAAUCAGCGCUGGCCAUAGGAGCGCGCCAGGAGGCGAGAGCAUUGGAGAGGCGGGACGGGCAAGGGGAACGUUGGAAGGAGUUCCGCAUUCCAGACAUUCCAGAGCCAACUUUCCCACCGGCAGAGCCGAUGGAAAUCGGAACAGCGCGCGCGCGCGCAGUUUCAAAGCCCAGUGAGGGGGCAAAGAAGGAGGGAAAAGGCGCCCGGAAAUGCUAUCUCUGCCAACAGCCAGGUCACUUUGCCAGAGUCUGCCCCCAGAGGAAAGAAUGGCAAGGGAUGGUAGGAGCUGUGGAUGGAAGAGAGGACAAAAUACCGGAGCAAGUACAAGCCAACGCCUGGCUGCCACUGUCAGGGCACAGCAGCCAGGCCAAAGAGCAGUGAGAGUGCCCACGCCAGAACCUCCUAAACCCGCCCUAGUGAUAGAAGUGACGCUAGAGCUGCCAAACGGACACCCUCUAAAGAUAAAGGCGCUGUUGGACUCAGGCAGCUCCUGCAAUUUCAUGAGCAAAGAGUUUGCAGCUGAACACCAGAUACAGACAAUCCCUUUAAGCAGCCCCCUGCAGGUGACCACGAUCGAUGGCAGGGAGCUGUUGGGUGGAGAAGUCAGCUUGCAGACCGUCCCAAUGAUAAUGAAGGUAGCAAGGCACACCGAACUGAUAGCUUUUAAUGUGGCCACCUUGGGAGGAGCUCCCAUUAUAUUGGGGAUGAGCUGGCUAGCGUUACAUGAUCCGCUGGUGGGCUGGCAUCAGAGAGUGGUUUCUUUUGGUUCAGCACAUUGCUUAGAACACUGCAAAGAGGGAAAGGGUUUGGCAGGGGUCCAAGCCACCCUAGCAGGGACUGAAGUAACAGAGAACGUGAAGGUACCACGACAAUAUGCAGAUCUCCGUGACGUCUUCAGCGAAAGGAAGCUGACCAACUACCCCGCAUAGACCCUUUGACUGUCAAAUCAACUUACUCCCUGGAGCACAGCUCCCUGUAGGCAAGCUGUACGCCAUGUCAGACAGAGAGAUGCAGGAGUUAAGAGAGUUCAUUGACAAGAACCUGAAGAGAGGGUUCAUCAGAGAGUCCAGGGCGGUGGGGGGCAGCCCAGUGUUUUUGUGGAUAAGAAAAACACGAACAAGCCGAGGCUGGUGUGUGACUUCAGGGCCUUAAAUGCAGUGUCAGAACCAGUAGCCUUCCCUAUGCCCAGGAUUGACGACAUUUUGACAAGGGUGCGGAAGGGAAAGAUUUUCACAAAGCUGGACCUAAGGGGGGCGUACAACCUGGUACGAAUAAGGAAGGGGGAUGAAUGGAAAACCACUAUGUUCACCCCUUUAGGGGCAUUUGAAUAUUUGGUUAUGCCCUUCGGCCUACAAGCAGGCUCCGCAACAUUUCAAUCGUUUAUGAACCACGUCCUGGGGCCUUUGCUUUACAAGAAUUGUGUGGCCUUUUAGACGACGUGUUGGUGUAUUCUGAGAAUGAGGAGCAGCAUGUGAGAGACGUCAGAGAAGUGUUGAGCAGGCUGCAAGCCAACCAGCUGUGGGUGAAACUGGAGAAGUGUCAGUUUCAUACCAAGGAGGUGGAAUUCCUGGGGUAUCGCCUGUCAGACAAGGGAUUGGCCAUGGAUCCCGGCAAGGUCCAGGCGGUGCUGGAAUGGAAAACACCCAAAACAAAGAAGGAUGUGCAGAGGUUCCUAGGAUUUGGGAACUUCUAUCGUAAGUUCAUCCGAAACUUUGCCCACCUGACGGCGCCCAUUACGGACUGUCUCAGCAGUAAGAAGAAGUUCGUGUGGACUGAGGAGGCGGAGCGAGCAUUUGAGGAACUAAAAGGGCCUUCGCCUCGGAACAACAACUCCUGCAUGUGGAUUUACAAAAACCGAUGAGAGUGGAAACUGACGCAUCAGACAGAGCGAUUGGGGCGGUGCUUCUGCAGCCAGGCAAGAAGGGGUCAGAGUGGAGACCGUGUGCCUUUUCUUCGCGAAAGCUGAACAAAUCCGAGAGGAACUACACGGUGUAUGACCGAGAACUACUAGCCAUUCAUGAGGCGUUCCGGAGAUGGAGGCACCUGCUAAUUGGGGCACAACAUAAGGUGCAAGUGUGCACUGACCACAAGAACCUAGAGUAUUGGAGGACGGCACGAGUGCUCAACCAACGGCAAGUGAGAUGGGCCCAGGAGUUCUCCAAAUUUAACUUUGAGAUUAGUUACGUGCCAGGCCCAGAGAACAUUAGGGCGGACGCUCUCUCACGCAAACCUGAAUAUUUGGAGGGAGGGGCACCCGAAGAGAGACAUGUCAUUCCAGAGGACCGCUGGGUGUGUGGGGCGGCAUUGGUGGGACAAAGAGAACUGGUAGAGGAAACAGAGAAUGAUGAAUACGCCCAGAAUAAGCUCAGAGGUCUUAGGGGUGAUGGAGAGGAACCAGGGGUUUCGAGGAAAGAAAUGGAGCUUUGUAUUACAAAGGGGCACUGUAUAUCCCUGAAGGAGAGUUAAGGGGAGGGUACUCAAGCAGUUGCACGACAGCCCUACGGCGGGGCAUUUUGGACAACACAAAACCAUGUGGUUGGUCACCAGGGAAUUUUGGUGGCCUAAGGUGAGGGAAGAUGUACGUGAGUAUGUAAGAGGGUGUGAGCAAUGCCAGCGAGCCAAAGGGGAAAGGCGGGCGCCGGCGGGGCUAUUAGAACCCUUACCAACCCCAGAACGACCUUGGGAGGCAGUGUCGAUAGAUUUUAUGACUGAUCUGCCGAAGUCCAAAGGGAAAACAGCCAUCAUGGUGGUGGUAGACCUACUAACAAAGAUGUGCCACUUUGUAGCUUGCUCGCAUGCAGUCACGGCGGAAGAGACAGCGAAGUUAUUUGUAGAACACAUUUUUAGGUUGCACGGGGUGCCAUUGAGGGUGGUCUCAGACCGAGGAAAACAAUUUACUUCCAGGUUCUGGAGGAAGCUCAUGAGCUUACUGCAGGUGGAGGUCAAUUUUUCGACUGCCCGGCACCCUGAAACCAACGGGCAGGCGGAAAGAGCAAACGGUGUCCUCCAGCAAUACCUGAGGUGUUAUGUCAAUGACAGAGAGAAUGACUGGGUAGAAAAGUUGGCGCUGGCGGAAUUUGCCUACAACAAUGCCGAGAAUGUGUCCACAGGGAUGAGCCCCUUCUUGGCUAAUUAUGGGUGUCAUCCCAGGGCUUUCCCAGGGGGGAGAAGGGGAGAGAUGGAGCGUCCCGGCAGCCGAGCAUUUUGUAGAAGAAAUGGAAGCAAUCCAUCGUCAGCUCCAACUCAACUUAGAAAGGGCGAAGGAAGAAUACAAGAGGCAGGCAGACAAGAACCGAAGGGAAGGUGAAACCAUAAGGGUGGGAGAUAGGGUGUGGCUGUCCACCCAAGGGUUGCCGUUCAAAGGAGGUUGUAAGAAAUUAAGACCCAGGAGGUUGGGUCCCUUUGAGGUCAUUCAACAGGUCAACCCAGUGGCUUUCAGGCUCCGGUUACCCAACCACAUGAAACUGCACCCAGUAUUUCACAGGUCGUUACUGUCACCGUACGAAGGGGGACGAGAAGGGCUGGCCACUCGGGGACCGGUCGUAGAAGAAAGAGAAUGCAGCAGCCAUGUGGCAGAAAUCCUCGACGCCAGGUGGAAGGGGGAUCAGGUGGAGUAUUUGGUAGCGUGGGAAGGAGAACCGGAGUCAGAAAACACUUGGGUAAUGGCUGAAGAUAUCAAUGACGAGGUAUUGAUAGAAACGUUCCAUCGAAGGUUCCCAAGGAAACCUCAGCCUGUGGAGAGGUUCCGGAGGGAAUACUUUGGGACCACUGAUGAAGGGGAGGAGUUGGAAGGAUUCCCGGACUCGGAAGGGGACGGGGGAUGGACUCUGAGGAGGAGGUGUACUUCGAGACCAGGAACCGCAACAGGUUGAGAGAAGUGUUCGAGACAUCAGAAGAUGAAGGAAGUUCAUUCCGGGGUUUUGCCUCCUCACCGCCCGUAGAGGAGGGGGCGAGAGGGGGUGAAGGGGGCCCUGGAGGGGAGGUGGAUGUCAGGGAACUGCCAUCGGACGGAAGGGAGGUGAAAGGGCUCACACAGGUUGGGAGAGAAGCAGCAGCUGAAGAGGGAACCGGAAGGGAGGUGAAAGGGCUCACACAGGUUGGGAGAGACGCAGCAGCUGAAGAGGGAACCGGAAGGGAGGUGAAAGGGCUCACACAGGUUGGGAGAGACGCAGCAGCUGAAGAGGGAACCAGCAGGGGGAGAGGAGCUGAGCUGGAGGGAUGGCUCAGAGACACUUCCAGCGAAAACAGUGGGGAGGUUUCAGGACCUCCUGUAAGAACACCCACUCCUCGCCGGAAACUGUCACGCAGAGAUUCCAGAAGACGUGUUUCCGUUAAGGAGCUUUUAUGUUGGAAGCGAUUACAAAAGCAACCACUGUCGGAAUCUGCUAGUGACUAGAGUAGCCAUGUCUGAGGGGCUCCGUCACAGACAGAGGUUUGUGGACUUGAACAAACUCUGAGGGGAUACGAUUUUACGCACAAGCAGCUCAUCAUCCCAUCACAGCGGGUAAGUCACAUACAUACAUAAACCCAUAUGUAUCCUAAAGACACCUUCAUUCCACAGAAACUUGAUUCCACAUUGGGUAAGCGCUGGAGUCUCUCACACCUCAGAGACUGAGGUGUGUGCAGCAAUAUAUAUUCAGCAAAGCUUGGCUGUUUACUCUGUAAUGACAAGAUAUGAAGGCUAGAGCUGAGAGUCAUUUCACAAGAUGUGUGAAUCAAAGAACUGGCCGUGUUUUCAAACAACUCAGUGCGCCGUAGCCCUUGAAUGCACAGUUUUUAAUCUUACCUGCCAACUUCUCUGCCUUCAUUCUUCUGCGGUCAGACCCAGAAACAAAUGAGCAAAAGCCCGGUGAAAAGGGAUAUUUUUCAUCUGCUCUCGGGGCUGAUAGGAUGCCUCCCUUUAAUGUACAGUUGAAAUACACAAAUGCAAACCUCCCUUUGGGGAGAGGAGGAGGAGAGAGAAAAAUAUAUAUCACUCAAUGCAUACUCCACUAAACAAAAACAAAUGGCCCCAAAGUAAGAUCUUUCUUCAGGGGGUCCCAUUGUUUUAUGAAACCCGCCCUGAAAAUGUAUUAAUCUCAUAGCUGAAGGGGGGGGGAGUGUGUGACAACAAAGGAUCAACUUUCCAUGGUAUUCCCCCCCUCCCACUAGGUUCUCUGAAAGUUUGUUCUUCUAAUUGAUUUAUUCUGUUAGUAGGUGGUGCGUUACGUUUGUUUGAAAUGCCUCCAGUGGGUUCAUUCGGAGCGUCUGGCCUGACAUAAACCAGACGCAUUGGCUGCCUGUGUUUUGUGGAAAUGGACUUAAAUUCUGCAGGCAAAUUUGCUGCUUUUUUAUAUCCAUUUUUUACAAGGCUCCUGGGAGCCGGGGGGGGGGGAUUCUGCGGACCUUCACCGUACAGCGUUGUCUGUUUCGUCACUGUGGACGUUAUCAACACCCCCUGAGGCUGGGAAUAAUUCUUCAUGCUUCCAGUGUUAUGAUCUUCUCUUCCUCUCUUCUUGGGACAGUUUUGCUCAGGCCUCUCCAUCUGGUCCUUAGGUCACGAUCCUCCCAGACCACAACUUCUCUCCAGCUGUGCUCUGCUGUCCGCUUUGAGAGCUGUUCCCUGGCCUUGCACAAUAACCAUGUCUCUGGCUGGCUUGGAUGUUUGCGUUCAUGGGCUUGUGCAUGAUAUUGCUUUAAAUGCAUGGUGCAGAUGGGGCCUUGGCUAGUUAGAGAAAGGCCCCAUCUGCACGAUACAUUUUGUAAUAAUAAAAUUUAAGGUCCUAUAUAAUUAAUGUUCAUAAAUGUACCAACCAAGCACGUACAUAGAUCAGCACAGGAAGACUGACCUGAAACCAUUUUGACUCCCAAGCUGACCAAAUGUUUCUCUGCAAGGAGGGAGGAGGUGAAAAAACCUUCAUUGUUACAGGAAUUGGGUAAUCACCAUUUCAAAGGAAUGGGCAAACUACCAGGAAAGGCAAUCAGAUAAGGCAUUAUCAGAUAACCUGACAGACAGGAAAAACAACAACAUUCAAAUUUCUGUUGUAGACCACCUUUUCUGUGAUGUAGGUAUGAUGUUUGUGGGGGGUGGUCUUGGGUUACACUCCUUUUGUGAUGUAUGUAUGAUGUAUGGAGGGGUGGUCUUAAGCUCCAGGGACGGCAGUUUAAAAUGUCUAUAUAAGGGCAGGCACACCUUUGUUCUGGGUCCUCCUCUGUCCUCCUGCGUAUGAGGGGAGCACCCUAUUGCAACAGCUUUAAUAAAGAUCAGGCUUACUAGCUGCUUUACUUCUCAAUAGUCUCUGGUUGGCUUCUGUUAUUUUCUCCUACCAAUAGGGAACCCACGUAAGGACUCUAUAUGGGCUCUUGGAUACCCCAUAAGGGAAAAAGGGCAGAUUUUGUUUACAACAAUAUAAAGCAGGAUUGUACCAUGUUGUCCCACAAAGAAUCAUGGGAACUGUAGUUCAUUAAGGGUUGAGAGUUGUUAGGUGACUCCUUUUACCCUGACACAGAUACAAUUUUCAGAGUGGUUUAAUAAGCAAUCUCUUUUCCAACCCCAACUCCCUCUUCUUUAGGGGAAGGGCAGUGGCUCAGUGGUAGAGAAUUUGCUCUACAUGCAGGAUGUUCCAGGUUCAAUUCCUGGCAAUGUCCCCUGUCUAAAAGGUGCUGCCAGUCUGUGUAGACAAUACUAGGCUAGGUGAGCUAAUGGUCAGUUUCAAUAUAAGGAAGCUUCUUUAUUUUAUUUUAGAACCAUGAAGACUGGGAACAUAUUUUAUUUCUAAGGAAUGGCUGAAGAAUGGUAGUUGAGCAUCUGGUUCAAUUCCUGGCAUCUCCAGGUAGGGAUGGAAAGAACUUCUGUCCCAACAUUCGUAGACAAUCCUAAGCUAGAUGGAUGCAGUGGCAUGACAUGGGAGAGGGGGCAAAGGAACAGUUGUCCCGGAUGCAAAAUUGUUAGGGGGUGUAAAAUUUCAACACCCAGCAGUGCCUCAACACAGCUGCAUGCUUCCGUCACUGGACUCUGUUGAAAACGGCUUCUCCAUGCAAACCAGGAAGUGACCUCUCCAGACAACAGAAUGACUCGUAUUAUCUCUGCGGCUGAAACCACCUGGGUGACACGGAUGCCAUUAAGCAGUUGAAUGUGCAUGCAUGCUCUGUCCGUUUCCCUUUCUCCCAACCGCGUGGCCCCGGGCACUGGCAAACUGUUUACGCCACUGGAUGGACCAAUGGUCUGGCUUGGUGUAAGGUGGCUUCUUACAUUCCCAUGUUAGUCCUAUGGCUUGAUGAUGGAACCCAGAGGCAGCUUUUGCCUGACAGUGACUUUGGAGAGGAAGCAAUGAUGCCUAGAUCAUGUGGUACCCUUGACUCUCCCUUUAUCAUUAAAAACUCAAGAUUUCCCCAUCCCACCACAUGGAUGAGAUUCAUUCUCUGUCUCUCUCUCUCUCUCCAAUAGAUCAGCCUUCAUCAAAGCCUAAGGAUAUAAUUAAGAGCCUAGGGACUUCAAUCCAGGUCAAGCUGAUGGAAUCUCAUAGAUGAUCUCUUCAGUGGCCUAGCUGGUUCGAUGGACUCAUGCCCAAGAAUUAUUUCAUGCACCAGAGCAGAUGGAUGCCUUAGGAUUUAUUGUCCACCUCAAAAAAAGAAAGACAAGAAAAGGCUCGUGUUGCUUUCAACUUCUUUGACAAACCACA